UACAGAGGCCUCGAGCGUUAAUCGGAAUCACUGGGCUUAAAGGGUGCGUAGGCGGCGCUGCAAGUGCCUUGUGAAAUCCCAUCGCUUAACGAUGGAACUGCUCGGUAGACUGCAGUGCUUGAGGUCGGUAGGGGCUGCCGGAACUCUAGGUGGAGCGGUGAAAUGCGUAGAUAUCUAGAGGAACGCCCAAGGCGAAGGCAGGCAGCUGGGCCAAUUCUGACGCUGAGGCACGAAAGCGUGGGGAGCAAACGGG
rnacentral:rRNA from 1 species